AGAGAGAGAGAGAGAGAGAGAGAGAGAGAGAGAGAGAGAGAGAGAGAGAGAGAGAGAGAGAGAGACAGAGACAGAGAGAGAGAGAGAGAGAGAGAGAGAGAGAGAGAGACAGAGACAGAGACAGAGAGAGAGAGAGAGAGAGAGAGAGAGAGACAGAGACAGAGACAGAGACAGAGACAGAGAGAGAGAGAGAGACAGAGACAGAGACAGAGAGAGAGAGAGAGACAGAGACAGAGACAGAGACAGAGAGAGAGAGAGAGAGAGAGAGAGAGAGAGAGAGAGAGAGACAGAGACAGAGACAGAGAGAGAGAGAGAGAGAGAGAGAGAGAGAGAGAGAGAGAGAGAGAGACAGAGACAGAGACAGAGACAGAGACAGAGAGAGAGAGAGAGAGAGAGAGAGAGAGAGAGA
ensembl:lncRNA